UACAGAGGUGGCAAGCGUUGUUCGGAAUUACUGGGCGUAAAGCGCGUGUAGGCGGCAACGCAAGUCGGGCGUGAAAUCCCACGGCUCAACCGUGGAAGUGCACUCGAAACUGCGUAGCUAGAGUCCUGGAGAGGAAGGUGGAAUGCUUGGUGUAGAGGUGAAAUUCGUAGAUAUCAAGCGGAACACCGGUGGCGAAGGCGGCCUUCUGGACAGUGACUGACGCUGAGACGCGAAAGCGUGGGGAGCAAACAGG
rnacentral:rRNA from 1 species